AACGAACGCUGGCGGCAGGCUUAACACAUGCAAGUCGAACGGUUGUAGCAAUACAGCAGUGGCAGACGGGUGAGUAACACGUGGGAACCUUCCUAGGGGUACGGAACAACUCAGGGAAACUUGAGCUAAUACCGUAUACGUCCGUGAGGAGAAAGAUUUAUCGCCCUUAGACGGGCCCGCGUAGGAUUAGGUAGUUGGUGGGGUAAUGGCCUACCAAGCCUACGAUCCUUAGCUGAUCUGAGAGGANGAUCAGCCACACUGGGACUGAGACACGGCCCAGACUCCUACGGGAGGCAGCAGUGGGGAAUCUUGGACAAUGGGCGCAAGCCUGAUCCAGCCAUGCCGCGUGAGUGAAGAAGGCCUUGGUUGUAA
rnacentral:rRNA from 1 species